AAGCCACACCCUUUGAUCAUGUUU
rnacentral:siRNA from 1 species